GAUGAACGCUAGCGGCAGGCUUAAUACAUGCAAGUCGAGGGGCAGCACGAAUAGCAAUAUUUGGUGGCGACCGGCAAACGGGUGCGGAACACGUGCGCAACCUUCCCAAAACAGGUGAAUAGCCCUCCGAAAGGAGGAUUAAUACACCGUGAGAUAUGAUUGUGGCAUCACAGACAUAUUAUAGGUCGCAAGAUCGGUUUUGGAUGGGCGUGCGCCUGAUUAGGUAGUUGGUGCGGGUAACGGCCCACCAAGCCUCCGAUCAGUAACUGGUGUGAGAGCACGACCAGUCACACGGGCACUGAGACACGGGCCCGACUCCUACGGGAGGCAGCAGUAAGGAAUAUUGGUCAAUGGACGCAAGUCUGAACCAGCCAUGCCGCGUGCAGGAUGAA
rnacentral:rRNA from 1 species